UACGUAGGGUGCAAGCGUUAAUCGGAAUUACUGGGCGUAAAGCGUGCGCAGGCGGUUUUGUAAGUCUGACGUGAAAUCCCCGGGCUCAGCCUGGGAAUUGCGUUGGAGACUGCAAGGCUAGAAUCUGGCAGAGGGGGGUAGAAUUCCACGUGUAGCAGUGAAAUGCGUAGAGAUGUGGAGGAACACCGAUGGCGAAGGCAGCCCCCUGGGUCAAGAUUGACGCUCAUGCACGAAAGCGUGGGGAGCAAACAGG
rnacentral:rRNA from 1 species